UUCUAACGUUGACCCGUAAUCCGGGUUGCGGACAGUGUCUGGUGGGUAGUUUGACUGGGGCGGUCUCCUCCUAAAGAGUAACGGAGGAGCACGAAGGUUGGCUAAUCCUGGUCGGACAUCAGGAGGUUAGUGCAAUGGCAUAAGCCAGCUUGACUGCGAGCGUGACGGCGCGAGCAGGUGCGAAAGCAGGUCAUAGUGAUCCGGUGGUUCUGAAUGGAAGGGCCAUCGCUCAACGGAUAAAAGGUACUCCGGGGAUAACAGGCUGAUACCGCCCAAGAGUUCAUAUCGACGGCGGUGUUUGGCACCUCGAUGUCGGCUCAUCACAUCCUGGGGCUGAAGUAGGUCCCAAGGGUAUGGCUGUUCGCCAUUUAAAGUGGUACGCGAGCUGGGUUUAGAACGUCGUGAGACAGUUCGGUCCCUAUCUGCC
rnacentral:rRNA from 1 species